UAGCUAGUUGGUGAGGUAAAGGCUUACCAAGGCGACGAUCUGUAGCGGGUCUGAGAGGAUGAUCCGCCACACUGGAACUGAGACACGGUCCAGACUCCUACGGGAGGCAGCAGUGGGGAAUAUUGGACAAUGGGGGCAACCCUGAUCCAGCCAUGCCGCGUGAGCGAAGAAGGCCUUCGGGUUGUAAAGCUCUUUCGGCCGGGAAGAAAUCGCAUGGGCCAAUACCCUGUGUGGAUGACGGUACCGGAAUAAGAAGCACCGGCUAACUACGUGCCAGCAGCCGCGGUAAUACGUAGGGUGCGAGCGUUAAUCGGAAUUACUGGGCGUAAAGCGUGCGCAGGCGGUUUUGUAAGACAGGCGUGAAAUCCCCGGGCUUAACCUGGGAACUGCGUUUGUGACUGCAAGGCUAGAGUACGGCAGAGGGGGGUGGAAUUCCACGUGUAGCAGUGAAAUGCGUAGAGAUGUGGAGGAACACCAAUGGCGAAGGCAGCCCCCUGGGUCGAUACUGACGCUCAUGCACGAAAGCGUGGGUAGCAAACAGGAUUAGAUACCCUGGUAGUCCACGCCCUAAACUAUGUCAACUAGGUGUUGGGUGGGUAAAACCAUUUAGUACCGUAGCUAACGCGUGAAGUUGACCGCCUGGGGAGUACGGCCGCAAGGUUAAAACUCAAAGGAAUUGACGGGGACCCGCACAAGCGGUGGAUGAUGUGGAUUAAUUCGAUUCAACGCGAAAAACCUUACCUACCCUUGACAUGCCAGGAACUUGCCAGAGAUGGCUUGGUGCCCGAAAGGGAGCCUGGACACAGGUGCUGCAUGGCUGUCGUCAGCUCGUGUCGUGAGAUGUUGGGUUAAGUCCCGCAACGAGCGCAACCCUUGUCGUUAAUUGCCAUCAUUUAGUUGGGCACUUUAACGAGACUGCCGGUGACAAACCGGAGGAAGGUGGGGAUGACGUCAAGUCCUCAUGGCCCUUAUGGGUAGGGCUCCACACGUCAUACAAUGGUCGGUACAAAGGGUUGCCAAGCCGCGAGGCGGAGCCAAUCCCAGAAAGCCGAUCGUAGUCCGGAUUGCAGGCUGCAACUCGCCUGCAUGAAGUCGGAAUCGCUAGUAAUCGUGGAUCAGCAUGUCACGGUGAAUACGUUCCCGGGUCUUGUACACACCGCCCGUCACACCAUGGGAGCGGGUUCCGCCAGAAGUAGGUAGCCUAACCGCAAGGGGGGCGCUUACCACGGCGGGGUUCGUGACUGGGGUGAAGUUGAAACAAGGUAGCCGUAGGGGAACCUGCGGCUG
rnacentral:rRNA from 1 species